rnacentral:rRNA from 1 species
UACGUAGGGUGCAAGCGUUAUCCGGAUUCACUGGGUUUAAAGGGUGCGUAGGCGGACAGGUAAGUCAGUGGUGAAAUCUCCGAGCUUAACUCGGAAACUGCCUUUGAUACUCUCUGUCUUGAAUAUGAUGGAGGUAAGCGGAAUAUGUCAUGUAGCGGUGAAAUGCUUAGAGAUGACAUAGAACACCUAUUGCGAAGGCAGCUUACUACGCCUAUAUUGACGCUGAGGCACGAAAGCGUGGGGAUCAAACAGG